rnacentral:rRNA from 1 species
AUAGGAGGUCCCGCCUGCCCUGUGACCAAAAGUUUAACGGCCGCGGUAUUUUAACCGUGCAAAGGUAGCGCAAUCAAUUGUCUUUUAAAUGGAGACCUGUAUGAAUGGCAUAACGAGGGUUUAACUGUCUCUUUUUUUCGGUCAAUGAAACUGAUCUGCCCGUGCAGAAGCGGGCAUACCCACACAAGACGAGAAGACCCUAUGGAGCUUUAGACGCUCACCAACCACUAAAAGAGACCCGAUCUAACGGGCUUUCAAACAAUGUGGCCCUGGUAUAAACGUCUUCGGUUGGGGCGACCGCGGAGGAGAGAAAAGCCUCCGAGAGGAUUGGGGGAAACCCUAAAACCAAGAGCCACAGCUCUAAGUCACAAAAUAUUUGACCGACAACGAUCCGGCUUCUUGCCGAUCAACGGACCAAGUUACCCUAGGGAUAACAGCGCAAUCCCCUCCCAGAGUCCAUAUCGACGAGGGGGUUUACGACCUCGAUGUUGGAUCAGGACAUCCUAAUGGUGCAGCCGCUAUUAAGGGUUCGUUUGUUCAACGAUUAAAGUCCUACGUGAUCUGAGUUCAGACCGGAGUAAUCCAGGUCAGUUUCUAUCUGUGA